UACGUAGGGGGCUAGCGUUGUCCGGAAUCAUUGGGCGUAAAGCGCGUGUAGGCGGCCCGGUAAGUCCGCUGUGAAAGUCGGGGGCUCAACCCUCGGAAGCCGGUGGAUACUGUCGGGCUCGAGUACGGAAGAGGCGAGUGGAAUUCCUGGUGUAGCGGUGGAAUGCGCAGAUAUCAGGAGGAACACCAAUAGCGAAGGCAGCUCGCUGGGACGGUAUUGACGCUGAGGCGCGAAAGCGUGGGGAGCAAACAGG
rnacentral:rRNA from 1 species